UUUUAAACACAAAUUAUAUAUUUCUGCUCUUCUAAACACAUGGUUAGCAAAAACUGAAAUGAAUGUUUUGUUUUUCUAUGACACAACUGGGUGAAAAGCAGAACUACACAUAAGUUUCAUAAUAAAACUUCACACCACAUCAUGCUCGUCUGUUGUCAGAUUUUGUUACAUUCCCCCUACCUCAACCAAGACUCCCUGGGGCUGGCAAACAGGGCAAAGUUUGAGUCAAAGCCAUGCACUUCCUUUCAGCUUUAGGGAUGCACUUAGAAUUUUGGGGGAGAGCAAAAAAACAGCUGUUUUUUCCUCCAGAUGUGGCAAGUCUGUCACUUUCAGUUUUUAUUCCAACUCCAAACUCAGCACAAAUAAAGACAAUUGCCUGGGAAAGGAAGCGGGUAGAGGCUGGAGAAUCCUAAAGUUCUAUUCCACGCAAAAUAAGGUAUCAAUAUUAUGAGACUCCCUGAAAAGAGACAAAGUUGGAAAGAUGGCAGACCAGAAAGGGAGAGAAGGAGAGAAGAGAGAGAGCAUGGAAGGGAGGGUGGGAAGAAGGAGGAAAGGAAGGAACAAUCUAGUGAGGAGUAUGUGUCGUAACCAAAGAUUAGGAUUAACCCAUUUCUGUGGUCCUGAGAUCCAAGAAAAAAAUGCACACCUGACCUAACUGUAUUCCUUUGUCAAGAGGCCAGUUCCAUACCCAAGACAGGUUGUAUUCGUAGAUGAUUUUAAGGACAGUUUAAGGCAUAGAGUUUUACUCUAAAAACCGAGAAACAAAAAAUCCAUCAUUGUAGAAUUUGUUUUGUUGCCCUAUCUCUACUAUUUAUACUUUUCCACUUUAGCUAUGCAUAGAACAUAGCUAAUUUUCAUCUCAACUUUUCAAUUCUUUUGCUAAAUAACAGUUAAAAUUUAUUGAGUUCUAACCUCAUUUUAAGCACUGUGCUAAGUAUUUUACAUACUUUCAUGGGGAAGCACUUAUUCCUCGCUUUUGAUAUUUCCCUCCACAUGGGGAAACAUCCAUUAGAGUAACUUGCCUGGCCUGUAUCUACUUACUAAACCCCAGGACAGGAGAAGAGAGUUUGAUGAGUUUGAGAUGAGGAACAGGAUGUAUGAUGAAGAUCUAAUAUGACUCAUGUUCCUUUUCCCUUCUUCAUUGUCUUUCAGAUAUUCUACCCUGCAAAAAGCAUGUAUUCAUGGUCAGCUGUCAGCAAGGCCAGUAGUAGAGUGGUAAAGGCCUUGGCCCUGCAAGGUUGAGAAAAGACAAUGACAAGUCAAAUCCAGACCUACGUUGGAUGUUGGUCUACUAGGUGACUGUCUCCUGGAAAUGUUAUGCAGCUCAGCAAGGUGAAGUAAAAGACUGCAAUGAAGUCUUACAGUGGAGGGGAGAGAUUGGGCUCAGCACCCCAGAACCACUCAAGAGCUCUCUGGAUAGAUUCCACUCUGCAGCCAUGUUUGAGGGCUACUGCACUGCAGUAUGCCAUGGAAUCACAGAGCCAGCGUGAACAGAACAGAGAAGUGGGUAAGUAGGAAGGGUGAAUAAAAGAGGGGCAAAUUUCUGUCUGCAUAUCAGAGGUGAGGCCUCCAGGCUGGAAAUGUAUGUGCUUUCUGCAUUGGAAUGGGUGGAUGAACUGCGUGUGAAAGAGGCAAGAGAGGUUUAGCAAUUCAGCGGCCACUGACAACAUAGGCUUAGCCAGGAUUCACUGAAGUUCUUAAAAGGGGACUCAAAAGUUUAUAUUUAAUGUAAACUUUUAAUUUGGCAAUGACUCGUCCAUCGCAAUGUUUCCUAUAGCUUUAAAUCGGGUCAUCUAUUCAUUCAGAAUAAUACUUUUAGCAUGUUAUCUCCCUUUGUCCCUUGAGAAGUAUAACAUCCACUUUCAACAUAUAUAUAGAGAUGCAUUUAUAUGUUUUAUUUUUUUAAGUCAUCUUUAUGGAGAUGAAGAAAGAGACCUGUUCAGAAAGAAGGGAAGCAGAAAGAAAAUGUUAUACCUUUGGCAGCCCUGGACUGUUGGGUCAGCAGAAAAGGAACAAGAGAUAGGUAGGCCUGGAUAGUGUAGGAACCAGCAAUCGAGCCUAGUGUCAGGCUUGGAAAUUUGACAAUUCCAAAGAAGCAUGUAUAACCCAAUUAAUCAGUAAAGAGAGUAAUUGAUGCUUCCCAGAAAACGGAUUUCUAUACUGCCUAAUUACAAUAUGCCCUCUGCAGUAAUAUGAAUAUCUUCUAUAACCCUUCCUCUAUCUCCAGCUAUUUUAAAAUCUUACUCUGAGGGUUACUGUAGUAUCUAAGGUUGUUUGUCUCUAUAGUAAAUGAUCCCAGUCCAUUUAACCACGUGAAAGGAGACAGGAACACUAGCAUCUGAUCCUCGUCAUGGGACCCCCGCCUGUCUCACUAUAAUUGCCAGCUGGAGACAGAACAGGGCCUAAGGGCAAAGGCAGACUGGCAUAUGAGGAAGAGAACCAAAGGUCGGUCACAGAGCAGCUGUGUCACAGGUGAGAUCUAAAGGAAAACUGCUGGGCUAAAAGCAGGAAGCAAACAGAAGUUCAGGAGCCAGAAGAAUGCAAGAACAUAUCAGGAAGGGGGAUAUGAGACACGAAUAGAAUCAGGGCUUUGGCCAUGAAUGAGGCCAGGGUACCUCAAGCUCAUUCUUGUUGAGAGCUUGCCCUGUGGUGCUUGGGUAAGCAGGAAAGAGUUAGGCAGUGCAGGUUGGGACAGUCUUUUAAAAAAAAGAAA